rnacentral:rRNA from 1 species
UACGGGGGGGGCAAGCGUUGUUCGGAAUUACUGGGCGUAAAGGGCGCGUAGGCGGCUUCGGAAGUCAUGGGUGAAAGGCCUCGGCUCAACCGAGGAAUGGCCUGUGAAACCACGGAGCUGGAGUGCUGGAGAGGAAAGCGGAAUUCCCAGUGUAGCGGUGAAAUGCGUAGAUAUUGGGAGGAACAUCUGAGGCGAAGGCGGCUUUCUGGACAGACACUGACGCUGAGGCGCGAAAGCCAGGGGAGCAAACGGGAUUAGAUACCCCCGUAGUCC